rnacentral:tRNA from 1 species
GAAGAGGUAGCAUAAAGGUAAUGCAGCUGUCUUGAAAACAGUAUUAAAGAAAAUGUCGGUUCAAUUCCGGUCUUCUUCU